UUCAUUUGCAUCAUUACAAUAUCGGUACAAGCACAUCACAUUGUCUGUUGCUUGCACCUUUUGUUACGGUUGCUGUCACAGUCUACGCGACUUGACUUUCAUAUUUUAAAUGAAUUGAUAUUACACCAACAACACGUUCACAUCCCAGGCGCUGGGAAGCCGGGCUCCGGCACGCCGGGCGCCGCAGCCCCGAGCCGCUCGCUUCUGCCUCCGGAUCCCAGGGAAGGUGGGGUGGGGGGAGCCGCCUUGUACUAUCAAUUAGGAUUAUAAAAUAUUGCUAUUCGUAUUAAUUUAGUUUCCACUCCUUGGUGACGGGGGUGAUUUUUUUUUGUAUUGUCCAGCCUGUUUUUUAUUUUUUUUUGUAUAACCUCGUGUCUCUUCUCCCCGCUCUCCCUUCCCAAACUCAGUCUUUCGUGCUAUGCACCUGCAACUAAGAAAGGCAGCGGGGGAGCUGGAAGAGGCACAAGCAGGUAUCACACGAUGGAGUCAAUUUAUAGGUAGAAAAGAAACGGUAAAAACAGAUAAUUCGCAGCCCACCAAGGCGAUUCAGCCAAAACGAAUGGUUUGGGAAACGUUUGCUCGCCCCAGCCCCGUCUUGGCAUUCCUCACCUGCUGUGUCUUUUCCUCCCGCUGCCCGUAUGUGUGUGUGUGUGUGUGCGGGGCUGGGGGGGGUUCCCCCUCGCCAAGCCCCCGGAGGCUGGAUGGGGUCGCGGGCGCCGAGGUCGCGCCGCGGGGGUCGCGCCGCGGGGGGCAGCGGGGGCAGCGGCGGGGCGCUGCGGGGCGCGGCGCGAUUCUCCGGGAGGGGGCGGCGAGCCCCCCGCCCCGGGGCUGCGGGAAAACCGUAUUAAUGCAGAGACAAAAGGCCGGACCGUCCGGCGGGGGCCCUGCGGGAGCGGGGGAACGAAAUACGGUUCGGGAAGGGAAGGAGAAAAAGUUUCGCGGGAGAGGAAUUAUCAUCAUAAUGGAGGAAAAGGGAGACGGUGCCGCCAGCCGCGUUCUGGGAUCGCCCCGGCACAGAUCGACUCCAAAACGAGGGAGCAUCGCCCAGGCGGAAAAACUACGGGAAAAACGGGUUUCGAAGCCUACAGAUUUCCCCCUAAGCGGGGACAGAGGGGGUGUCCGAGCAGGGGGCUCGGGGGGGUGAGAGACCCGCGGAGAAACCGGGCUGCGCAGUCCAGGCUCUUGGCGCUGCUGUCCCGGGUUGUCCCGGGGCCACCCCCGAGUGCCACCGGCGACACUGGGGACAGGAGGAGGGGUGCUGCUUCCCCUUCAUGCCCGCUGGAAGAGAAGGCUGUUUUCCUCUGCUGUUUAGCUUCUGUACUAAAGAUGUCAUCUGAAAGUCUGGGAGGAAGGGGGGGACCGCGCUCAGCUCUCUUCCACGGUAACAACCAUAUUCUGCAGAGGGAAAAUAUGAUAGACAGCUAGGAAGGCGCUUUUUUUCCUUAAAAAAAAAAUAAUAAAAAGAAAAAAAAAGAAAAAAAGAGAAAAAAGAACCAACCUUUU